UACAGAGGUCCCAAGCGUUGUUCGGAUUCACUGGGCGUAAAGGGUGCGUAGGCGGCUUGUUAAGUCAGUGGUGAAAGCUCGCAGCUUAACUGUGAAACUGCCAUUGAAACUGACAAGCUUGAGUACGAUUGAUGUGGGCGGAAUACAACAUGUAGCGGUGAAAUGCUUAGAUAUGUUGUAGAACACCGAUUGCGAAGGCAGCUCACAAAAUCGCAACUGACGCUGAGGCACGAAAGCGUGGGGAGCAAACAGG
rnacentral:rRNA from 1 species